rnacentral:misc_RNA from 1 species
ACUCAUAUAGGUGCAAAGUUAUCAUCAAUAGAAACGAAUUAAGUUCAAACAGCAGGUAAUUGCUAUAAGUCGUUGAAGAGUUCCCUCGACUAUCUUUCGUCUCCAUCAUCAGACUGAAAUGGUACUUAUAACUCAUAUAUAUGCAAAGUUCUCAUCAAUAGAAACGAAUUAAGUUCAAACAGCAGGUAAUUGAUAUAAAUCGUUAAAGAGUUCCCUCGACUAUCUUUUGUCUCCAUCAUCAGACUGUAAUGGCACUUAUAAC